rnacentral:lncRNA from 1 species
CCGAGAGGGGCCACGGUUCGCAGCCGCCGGAGCCGCUUCAUAACGCGCUGUGCGUGACGUGAGGGGCUUCUGUUGCAAUGGCGAGCUAAGCCGGAGGAUGUGCAGCUGCGACGGCGGCGUCGGCCACGAAGAGGACGGGGGCGGGCGCAGCACAACUCGAGCAGAGCCAGCCGGGGGACGCGAGCUGGGCGGGACAGGGGCUCUGGCCCGGCUGCCACUGCUAUCGCCGUCGCGCUGGCCCCGCGCCUCCGCGCGCGAGCGGGAGGAGCCGCCGCCGCCUAGCUCCCGAGCCGACGCCGGCGCGCUCCGGGCAUGGUCCCCUCUUAAAGGCGCAGGCCGCGGCGGUUGGGGCGGGCGUGCGGAACAAAGCGCCGGCGCGGGGCCUGCGGGCGGCUC